CCCUUAGAUGUUCUGGGCUGCACGCGCGCUACACUGAUGCGCUCAACGAGUUUUAACCUUGCCUGGAAAGGUUGGGUAAUCUUUUUAAAACGCAUCGUGAUGGGGAUAGAUUAUUGCAAUUAUUAAUCUUCAACGAGGAAUUCCUAGUAAGCGCAAGUCAUCAGCUUGCGUUGAUUACGUCCCUGCCCUUUGUACACACCGCCCGUCGCUCCUACCGAUUGAAUGGUCCGGUGAAGCGCUCGGACCGCGGCCUCUUGACGGUUCGCUGUCGAUUGGCUGUGGGAAGUUCGUUAAACCUUAUCAUUUAGAGGAAGGAGAAGUCGUAACA
rnacentral:rRNA from 1 species